ACGCCACCAAUCCGGGCACCGCGCCGUCGGAGUAGCGCCACUGAACGGAGGGCUUCUCCGCAAACUGUGCAUACUAUGAUCCAGCGUAAACAAGUAAAUCUAGUACAAAUCCUGUCUGACAAUCGCUGAGAAUAAAGGAUUUUACACCAAACCUAUUUCUUUUAGACGGGAUGUACUGUUUAAAAGACAGCCUUCCUUUAUAUAAAAGCAAGCUUUCGUCAAUGCACAGACGUUCAUAAGGUUGAAAUGCUUGACUAAAUUUUGUUCGUAAUAUAUCAAUUACGUUCCGUAUUUUGUGUAAACGAUCAUUCGUAGGAUUGACCGUAUGGGUGAAGUGUAACAUCUGUAAUAAUUUGAGGUAGCGGUCUCUGGUCAUUAUUUCUCCAAAAAUCUCACUACGAAGGAGUUUAUCUUUACUCCAGUACUCUAAUAGUGAUAAUUUUUUGUUGCGUGUCAUUAAAAAUGACACAGCAAAGAAACGGUAUAGUUCUGCUAGCCCUGUUCCUUCUGAAUUGUUUAUAUUAUUAUUAUUCUUUUGUGAACAAUAUUCAUUUGUUUCUCUCGCAAUCAGUUCUACGAACUCUUCAGAAACAAAAAGCUGGAAGUAAUCUAAGAUUUUGGCUGAUCUACUGAUGUUUUCUUUAAUUCCUGAAUCUUUUGAUGAAAAUUUAUGUAUUUUAGGGAGAAAUCUUUUUGACGUCCAUAUAUCACGGCAACUGUCAUUUGCUUCAAUCUUCUCUGAUUCUGAGUCGGAAGUACUACAUAUAGUUCUUUUUCUUUUCUUUCUCUGUAGUGUAACAUUAUUUUGAUUUUGAUCAUCUGAAUCGUUUUCUGAAUCUGUAGAUCGGUCAUGGAAUAGAAUUUUUCGUCGUGACAUUCUGACAGGGGGGUACAAAAAGAUUUUAUAAAACAAACUAAGCAAAGCUCCAAAUAAAAUUUUUAAAUAAAUAUUACGAACCUUGAAAAAUUAAUAGCUGUUGUCCAGUCUCUUGUAAUACUUCAAGGAAGAUUUCUUUUUAUAUUACUAUAUAAUUCGGACCAAAUACUUCACUCUCGAAUAGAACACACGGAAGAAAUUUGUUUGGACGUACAGAAGAUAUUAUUUGCGUUUGAAAUAUACUUUUAUUUCAACAGACUGGUUUGCGCUUUGAAGCUUCGCGAACACUGUUAGUUUGAAGAAGAGUGAAGCGUGACUGUUGUCCCGAUUGUUUCGAACCCAGUGCAUGUCUUAUUUUUGGAGUAAAACAAAUGAAAACGAACUAAAGAAUGACAAGUGCUAUCGAUGUGCUACGUGCAUACGAACGAAAGAAAUAAAAGUAUCGCGGGGACGUUUGGUGAGCUGUAUCACGCUGGCGCCGGCUACAGCCGGCGCUCGUACACACAGGUCAUCGAAUGGAUGCCGGCUAUAUCCGGCGCUCGUACACAGAAGUCAUCGAGUGGAUGCCGGCUAGAUCCGGCGCUCGUACACAGAAGUCAUCGAGUGGAUGCCGGCUAGAUCCGGCGCUCGUACACAGAAGUCAUCGAGUGGAUGCCGGCUAUAUCCGGCGCUCGUAACGAAAGGGUUAA